CGGACUGGCAGGAGAUGAGCAGAGACACUCCGACGCACACCACGGCGAACCUGACGGACUUCUUCAUCUCCAUGAGAUUUGGCACUUUUUGGGGGGAGGCUGGGUGAGGUUUAUCGUGACACGGGACAUUCGUCAAAUCAGAGCCAAGGUGGGCGGAUGAUGAUGAUCCGUCUGUAGAAAAUGGGGUGGAAACGACGCUAAUUGAUCCGUUUCUGAUGGGCUGCUGGAGCCACGCCAUCUUGGAGCGUGUGUGUGAGAGAGGUAUGAGGACGUCACCCCUUCUGACGUUUUAAGGGGUCAAAAUGAAUCUGUCGUCCUUGAAAGAAAUGUGAGGCAAGAGGUCACAGCUUAAGAGGUUUUGUGGAGAAGCUGUUGGAGAACAUGUGUGAAAGUGGACAAAUUAGGACUGAAAAUACCUGCAGAUUAGUCUGGAGCAGCGCAACCUGAUCACGACACAGCGCUUGGGUCCGUCUACGUCAGUUUUCUGAAGUUUUAUGCAUUUUGUCUCGCAACAAACACAAGCUUUAGUUUUCUUAUCGGGAUUUUAUUUGUCAGGCCAGGACGGAAUGGCGCCGUCUAUACAUCUUUUUAAGUUUUCUUUACAUACACAAAAAAUGUGAAAAGCGUGGCGUGAUUUGUAUUCAACCCCCCUCAGUAGAGCCACAUCGCUGUACUUUUAUAGUUUCAAAUCUCUUUUUCUUUUGGGGGGAUGGGGUAUUAUUUG